rnacentral:rRNA from 1 species
AAUGGGGGAAACCCUGAUGCAGCGAUGCCGCGUGAGUGAAGAAGGCCCUUGGGUUGUAAAACUCUUUCGUCGGGGAAGAAAAUGACUGUACCCGAAUAAGAAGGUCCGGCUAACUUCGUGCCAGCAGCCGCGGUAAUACGAAGGGACCUAGCGUAGUUCGGAAUUACUGGGCUUAAAGAGCUCGUAGGUGGUUAAAAAAGUUGAUGGUGAAAUCCCAAGGCUCAACCUUGGAACUGCCAUCAAAACUUUUUAGCUAGAGUGUGAUAGAGGUAAGUGGAAUUUCUAGUGUAGAGGUGAAAUUCGUAGAUAUUAGAAAGAACACCAAAAGCGAAGGCAACUUACUGGGUCACUACUGACACUGAGGAGCGAAAGCAUGGGUAGCGAAGAGGAUU